rnacentral:rRNA from 1 species
UACAGAGGGGGCAAGCGUUGUUCGGAAUUACUGGGCGUAAAGGGCGCGUAAGCGGCCUGCUAAGUCGAACGUGAAAUCCCCGGGCUCAACCCGGGAACUGCGUCCGAUACUGGCAGGCUUGAAUCCGGGAGAGGGAUGUGGAAUUCCAGGUGUAGCGGUGAAAUGCGUAGAUAUCUGGAGGAACACCGGUGGCGAAGGCGGCAUCCUGGACCGGUAUUGACGCUGAUGCGCGAAAGCCAGGGGAGCAAACGGG